UGAGAUUAGCUACGUGGAGGUAGAGCACUGAAUAUGUAAUGGCCCCGUCUAGGGGUACUGAAUGUAAUCAAACUCCGAAUGCCACGCAAGUAUUCUCAGGAGUCAGUGUAUGGGUGAUAACGUCCAUGCGCGAAAGGAAAACAAUCCAGACCGCCAGUUAAGGUCCCAAAAUUUAUGCUAAGUGGGAAAGGAUGUGGAGUUGUCAAAACAGCUAGGAGGUUGGCUUAGAAGCAGCCACCCUUUAAAGAGUGCGUAAUAGCUCACUAGUCGAGUGACACUGCGCCGAAGAUGUACCGGGGCUAAGCAUAAUACCGAAACUGCGGAUUUGUAGCAAUACAGAUGGUAGGGGAGCGUUCUAAGGGCGAUGAAGGUGGACCGUGAGGACUGCUGGAGCGCUUAGAAGUGAGAAUGCCGGUGUGAGUAGCGCAAGCUGGGUGAGAAUCCCAGCCACCGUUUGCCUAAGGGUUCCUGGGGAAGGUUCGUCCUCCCAGGGUUAGUCGGGUCCUAAGACGAGGCCGAAAGGCGUAGCCGAUGGACAACAGGUUGAUAUUCCUGUACUACCUAUGUAACUGAUGGAAUGACGAAGAAGGCUAAAAGGAGCCGGUUAUUGGAUUCCGGUCUAAGUACAAAGGCUUAUAAAUUGGGAAAUCCGUUUAUAGUUUAAGCUGAAGUAUGAUGGCGUGAUGUAGAAAUACAUUGGAAGUCCUUUGACGCCAAGCUUCCGAGAAAAGUUUCUAGGGUUAAUUACAUAGGUACCCGUACCGAGAACCGACACAGGUGGGCAAGGAGAGUAUCCUAAGGUGAGCGAGAGAACUAUGGUUAAGGAACUCGGCAAAAUGACCCCGUAACUUAGGGAUAAGGGGUGGUCUGGCGACAGACCCGCAGUAAAGAGGCCCAGGCGACUGUUUACCAAAAACACAGCUCUCUGCUAAGUCGUAAGACGAUGUAUAGGGGGUGACACCUGCCCAGUGCUGGAAGGUUAAGAGGAUGGCUUAAAAUGACGCAAGUCGAUAUGUGAAGGUCAGAAUUGAAGCCCCAGUGAACGGCGGCCGUAACUAUAACGGUCCUAAGGUAGCGAAAUUCCUUGUCAGGUAAGUUCUGACCCGCACGAAAGGUGUAACGAUCUGGGUGCUGUCUCGACCAUAGACUCGGUGAAAUCAUAAUACCUGUGAAAAUGCAGGUUACCCGCGACAGGACGGAAAGACCCCGUGGAGCUUUACUGUAGCUUGAUAUUGAAAUUCGGUAUGUUAUGUAGAGGAUAGGUGGGAGACUUUGAAGUGAGGACGCUAGUUCUCAUGGAGUCAACCUUGGAAUACCACCCUUAAUGUAUUGGAUUUCUAACCUAGGACCGUGAUCCGGUUCGGGGACAGUGUCUGGUGGGCAGUUUGACUGGGGCGGUCGCCUCCCAAAAAGUAACGGAGGCGCCCAAUGGUUCCCUCAGAAUGGUUGGAAAUCAUUCGCAGAGCGUAAAGGUAUAAGGGAGCUUGACUGCAAGACUUACAAGUCGAGCAGAUACGAAAGUAGGGCUUAGUGAUCAGGCGAUUCAGUAUGGAAUGGUCGUCGCUUA
rnacentral:rRNA from 1 species